rnacentral:rRNA from 1 species
AGGGAAUCUUCCACAAUGGACGCAAGUCUGAUGGAGCAACGCCGCGUGAGUGAAGAAGGUUUUCGGACCGUAAAGCUCUGUUGUUGGUGAAGAAGGAUAGAGGUAGUAACUGGCCUUUAUUUGACGGUAAUCAACCAGAAAGUCACGGCUAACUACGUGCCAGCAGCCGCGGUAAUACGUAGGUGGCAAGCGUUGUCCGGAUUUAUUGGGCGUAAAGCGAGCGCAGGCGGAAGAAUAAGUCUGAUGUGAAAGCCCUCGGCUUAACCGAGGAAUUGCAUCGGAAACUGUUUUUCUUGAGUGCAGAAGAGGAGAGUAGAACUCCAUGUGUAGCGGUGGAAUGCGUAGAUAUAUGGAAGAAUACCAGUGGCGAAGGCGGCUCUCUGGUCUGCAACUGACGCUGAGGCUCGAAAGCAUGGGUAGCGAACAGGAUUAGAUACCCUGGUAGUCCAUGCCGUAAACGAUGAGUGCUAAGUGUUGGGAGGCUUCCGCCUCUCAGUGCUGCAGCUAACGCAUUAAGCACUCCGCCUGGGGGAGUACGACCGCAAGGUUGAA